AGAGUUUGAUCAUGGCUCAGAUUGAACGCUGGCGGCAGGCUUAACACAUGCAAGUCGAGCGGGGAUUGGGUGCUUGCACCUAAUCUUAGCGGCGGACGGGUGAGUAAUGCUUAGGAAUCUGCCAUUUAGUGGGGGACAACAUUCCGAAAGGGAUGCUAAUACCGCAUACGCCCUACGGGGGAAAGCAGGGGAUCUUCGGACCUUGCGCUAAAUGAUGAGCCUAAGUCGGAUUAGCUAGUUGGUGGGGUAAAGGCCUACCAAGGCGACGAUCUGUAGCGGGUCUGAGAGGAUGAUCCGCCACACUGGGACUGAGACACGGCCCAGACUCCUACGGGAGGCAGCAGUGGGGAAUAUUGGACAAUGGGCGAAAGCCUGAUCCAGCCAUGCCGCGUGUGUGAAGAAGGCCUUUUGGUUGUAAAGCACUUUAAGCGAGGAGGAGGCUACCUGGAUUAAUACUCUAGGAUAGUGGACGUUACUCGCAGAAUAAGCACCGGCUAACUCUGUGCCAGCAGCCGCGGUAAUACAGAGGGUGCGAGCGUUAAUCGGAUUUACUGGGCGUAAAGCGUGCGUAGGCGGCUGAUUAAGUCGGAUGUGAAAUCCCUGAGCUUAACUUAGGAAUUGCAUUCGAUACUGGUCAGCUAGAGUAUGGGAGAGGAUGUAGAAUUCCAGGUGUAGCGGUGAAAUGCGUAGAGAUCUGGAGGAAUGCCGAUGGCGAAGGCAGCCAUCUGGCCUAAUACUGACGCUGAGGUACGAAAGCAUGGGGAGCAAACAGGAUUAGAUACCCUGGUAGUCCACGCCGUAAACGAUGUCUACUAGCCGUUGGGGCCUUUGAGGCUUUAGUGGCGCAGCUAACGCGAUAAGUAGACCGCCUGGGGAGUACGGUCGCAAGACUAAAACUCAAAUGAAUUGACGGGGGCCCGCACAAGCGGUGGAGCAUGUGGUUUAAUUCGAUGCAACGCGAAGAACCUUACCUGGCCUUGACAUAGUAGAAACUUUCCAGAGAUGGAUUGGUGCCUUCGGGAAUCUACAUACAGGUGCUGCAUGGCUGUCGUCAGCUCGUGUCGUGAGAUGUUGGGUUAAGUCCCGCAACGAGCGCAACCCUUUUCCUUACUUGCCAGCAUUUCGGAUGGGAACUUUAAGGAUACUGCCAGUGACAAACUGGAGGAAGGCGGGGACGACAUCAAGUCAUCAUGGCCCUUACGGCCAGGGCUACACACGUGCUACAAUGGUCGGUACAAAGGGUUGCUACCUAGCGAUAGGAUGCUAAUCUCAAAAAGCCGAUCGUAGUCCGGAUUGGAGUCUGCAACUCGACUCCAUGAAGUCGGAAUCGCUAGUAAUCGCGGAUCAGAAUGCCGCGGUGAAUACGUUCCCGGGCCUUGUACACACCGCCCGUCACACCAUGGGAGUUUGUUGCACCAGAAGUAGGUAGUCUAACCUUAGGGAGGACGCUUACCA
rnacentral:rRNA from 1 species